AGCGAACGCUGGCGGCAGGCUUAACACAUGCAAGUCGAGCGGGCCUUUCGGGGUCAGCGGCGGACGGGUGCGUAACGCGUGGGAACGUGCCCUCUGGUUCGGAAUAACUCAGGGAAACUUGAGCUAAUACCGGAUACGCCCUUUUGGGGAAAGGCUUGCUGCCGGAGGAUCGGCCCGCGUCUGAUUAGCUAGUUGGUGAGGUAACGGCUCACCAAGGCGACGAUCAGUAGCUGGUCUGAGAGGAUGAUCAGCCACACUGGGACUGAGACACGGCCCAGACUCCUACGGGAGGCAGCAGUGGGGAAUAUUGGACAAUGGGCGCAAGCCUGAUCCAGCCAUGCCGCGUGAGUGAUGAAGGCCUUAGGGUUGUAAAGCUCUUUUAUCCGGGACGAUAAUGACGGUACCGGAGGAAUAAGCCCCGGCUAACUUCGUG
rnacentral:rRNA from 1 species